UCACUGAUGGUGUAGUGGUAUACACACCUGCCUUUGAAGCAGGAAGCGGGGGAUCAAUUCCCGCUCAGUGAU